UACGAAGGGGGGCUAGCGUUGUUCGGAUUUACUGGGCGUAAAGCGCACGUAGGCGGAUCGAUCAGUCAGGGGUGAAAUCCCAGAGCUCAACUCUGGAACUGCCUUUGAUACUGUCGAUCUGGAGUAUGGAAGAGGUGAGUGGAAUUCCGAGUGUAGAGGUGAAAUUCGUAGAUAUUCGGAGGAACACCAGUGGCGAAGGCGGCUCACUGGUCCAUUACUGACGCUGAGGUGCGAAGCGUGGGGAGCAAACAGG
rnacentral:rRNA from 1 species